rnacentral:rRNA from 1 species
UGCAGCAGCCGCGGUAAUACCGGCAGCCCAAGUGAUGGCCGAUCUUAUUGGGCCUAAAGCGUCCGUAGCUGGCUGCGCAAGUCCGUCGGGAAAUCCACUCGCCCAACGAGUGGGCGUCCGACGGAAACUGCACAGCUUGGGACCGGAAGGCUCGAAGGGUACGUUCGGGGUAGGAGUGAAAUCCUAUAAUCCCGCACGGACCACCGAUGGCGAAAGCACUUCGAGAAAACGGAUCCGACAGUGAGGGACGAAAGCUAAGAUCGCGAACCGGAUUAGAUACCCGACUAGUCC